GUCGUGAGAUGUUGGGUUAAGUCCCGCAACGAGCGCAACCCUUGCCAUUAGUUGCUACAUUCAGUUGAGCACUCUAAUGGGACUGCCGGUGACAAACCGGAGGAAGGUGGGGAUGACGUCAAGUCCUCAUGGCCCUUAUGGGUAGGGCUACACACGUCAUACAAUGGCGCGCACAGAGGGUAGCCAACCCGCGAGGGGGAGCCAAUCUCAGAAAACGCGUCGUAGUCCGGAUUGGAGUCUGCAACUCGACUCCAUGAAGUCGGAAUCGCUAGUAAUCGCGGAUCAGCAUGUCGCGGUGAAUACGUUCCCGGGCCUUGUACACACCGCCCGUCACACCAUGGGAGUGGGGUUCACCAGAAGCAGGUGGCCUAACCGCAAGGAAGGCGCCUACCACGGUGAGCUUCAUGACUGGGGUGAAGUCGUAACAAGGUAGCCGUAUCGGAAGGUGCGGCUGGAUCACCUCCUUUCUAGAGCAACGCCAGAAGUUCUCGCGUCCGCACCUAUCGGCUGUGGCAUAAGCAGCGGGGGUCUGUAGCUCAGUUGGUUAGAGCACACGCUUGAUAAGCGUGGGGUCGAUGGUUCAAAUCCAUCCAGACCCACCAACCGACCAGCGCAGCGCCGUCGAACACGGGGCCAUAGCUCAGCUGGGAGAGCGCCUGCUUUGCAAGCAGGAGGUCACCGGUUCGAUCCCGGUUGGCUCCACCAGCAUCGGUGGUCAACUUUCCUCGAAAUCUAUCGCGAAGCGCGUACCGGCCUGGUCCGGCGCGGGUUUCGCCGUAGGUUUUAUUCGGUUGCUCUUUAAAAAUUCGGAAGAAGUGAAGAGAGUUCGAUUCGUUGCUCUUUUAGCGGAUCGAGCUCGCUGGGUAUGAGAUUGCAUUAAGAGUUGCUGUGUCGGGGCUUUGUCGGCCCUGAUGCGGCCAAGCGCUCCUAUGAUCCGGGGUUCGACCGCUAAGCAACGCGGGCAGCGCUCAGGGUUAUAGGGUCAAGUGAAUAAGUGCACGUGGUGGAUGCCUUGGCGACGACAGGCGAUGAAGGACGUGGUUACCUGCGAAAAGCCUCGGGGAGCUGGAAUCGAGCUUUGAUCCGAGGAUGU
rnacentral:sRNA from 1 species